rnacentral:rRNA from 1 species
UACGAAGGGGGGCUAGCGUUGCUCGGAAUCACUGGGCGUAAAGCGCACGUAGGCGGAUUGAUAAGUCAGGGGUGAAAUCCUGGAGCUCAACUCCAGAACUGCCCCUUGAUACUGGCGGUCUCGAGUCCGGGAGAGGUGAGUGGAACUGCGAGUGUAGAGGUGAAAUUCGUAGAUAUUCGCAAGAACACCAGUGGCGAAGGCGGCUCACUGGCCCGGUACUGACGCUGAGGUGCGAAAGCGUGGGGAGCAA